rnacentral:lncRNA from 1 species
UUACACAUGCUCAGUAACAUUAUAACUAAAUAGUCCUUGCAUCAUAACAUAAAAUAACUAACUAAUCUAUAACGAUCAUUUAAUCAAGUUGAAAUCCUUUUAGGCGCGAUGAGAGCAUCUUCCUCCUGACCGGACGUCCGCUCGCGAUGUUUCUACUUCCGGCCUCUGUCUCAUCCAGUUCCUCCGUCUCCGGCUCCAACUGUGCGCGGAUGUCGUUCAACAUAUCUCCUUCCUCCAGAGCCCGUCUAUCAUCUCCACCCUCCUCAUAAUCGACUUUGUCCUCAAGGUUAAGGGAUGGGAAUGUCCUUUGUAGCUGGUCGACCUCCUCCCAUGAAGUUUCCUCCGGAUCGCGCCCCGUCCACCGGACUUUAGCUUGCUCCACCAGUCUGCCCUUUCCCAGUAAAGCCCUCUUUUCCAGUAUCGCCUAAGAAUAGAUUACCGGCUGGCUACCGACUGCAACUUUGGGUAAGCACCCAAUUUCCACUGGUGGUAAUUUUCCUCUAUAUUUCUUCAAUACACUGACAUGAAAAACAUCACGAAUUAGGCUAUUAUUUGGUAAUUUAACUUUGUAGGCCACCUCAAUGAUUUUUUUUUCAUAGGGACCAUAAUAUCUUGCUGAAAGUUUGUGAUAAAGCUUUUUUGCAAUAGAUAUCUGUCUGUAAGGCCUCAGUUUAACAAAUACCCAAUCCCCAAUUUCGAAUUCCACUUCUCUUCUAUGAUGAUCAGCUUGCUUCUUCAUUCUUUCUUUUGUUCUGUCCAUAUUAAUUUUAACUAUAUCAAGAAUUUCCUGCCUUCUAACCAGUUCUUCUUCAACCUCAAUAUUUAUUGAACUCCCUUUAACAGCUUCCACAAAUGAAUUAGCCUUCCUGUCAUAUAGAGCUUUGAAUGGGGCCAUAAUUCCGCCCAAGGUAGUAGGGUUAACCAUUUUUUUGGUUGUUCAUAAGCUAAACACCUUAGAAACAUUUCAAUACCUCUAUUUACUAUCUCAGUAUGGCCAUCUGUCUCUGGGUGGUAUGCAGAGGAUAACUUCAGAGUUGUUCCACUAAGUCUAUUAAUUUCUCUCCAAAAACUACUAGUGAAAACCUAGUCCCUGUCAGAAAUGAUUGAUGUUGGUACUCCAUGUAAUUUUAUUACUUCUUGCACAAAGAAGGCUGCAACCAUCUUAGAGUCGAAAUCUGCUGGUAAACUUCCCAAGUGGCAGAAUUUAGAAAGUUUGUCCACUACAACUAUAAUGACUGAUUUACCCCUGACCACUGGUAGGUUACUUAUAAAAUCUGUUGAGAUAUCUUGCCAUACUGCUUCAGGUAUAGGAAGAGGCUUUAAGAGUCCUUGUAGUCUUUUAGUAGAUGUUUUCAUUCUUUGACACACCACACAAUCCUCAACAUACUUUUUUAUUUCUUUUGACAUUCCCUUCCACCAGAAAAUUAAUUUAAUUCUUCUGAUUAUUCUUUCCACUCCUGAGUGACCACCAAUGAUGCUGUCAUAAUAUUCUCUAAGAAUAUCCUUAAUUAGGGCUGAGGUGGUUGCUACCACAUAUCUAUCAUUCAUGAGAAGUAACCCUUCUCUCAAUAUCAACUGUGUAUUGCUUUCAAUCCCUUUCUGGAUGUUCUCUUUCAUUUUUAAUAGCUCUAUAUAUGAUUUCUGUUUUUCUUUUACUCUGUCAAUUAAUUAAUCUGCUAACCAGGGCACACAGGCUUAAUACUGAACCAUCUUGUAAUUCUUCUUUAGAGUCAUCUCCCUCAAACUGUCUUGACAAAGCAUCUGCUGCUUUAUUUUCUUUUCCUGGCAUGUAUUUAAUAGAGUAAUCAAAUCCCAACAAUUGGCAUAGAAACUUCUGUUGGUCAGGGGUUUGUAUUAUUUGGCUCACCAUGUUCUUUAUGCUUUGGUGGUCUGUAUGGAUUAUAAAAUGAUGAUCCAAUAAGUAAUGCCUCCACUUACAAACAGCUUGAGUGAUAGCUAGCAUUUCUUUUGAAUAUGUAGAUGCCAAGAGCAUUCGAUUCUGCCAGAUAUUUUUGAACUAAAGAAUGCAAUAGGAUGUCCCUCCUGACUUAAUACUGCCCCAACUCCAUUUAAACAAGCAUCAGUCUCUAUAGAAAAUGGCUUUUCAAAAUCAGGAUGAUGCAAUACUGGGGCUGAUACUAUGGCUUCUUUCAAAGAUAAAAAAAUUAUUUUCUGCCAGUUCAUUCCAUGCAAAUUGAUCUUUCUUUAGUAAGUCUGUCAUAGGGGCAGCUAGGUGGGAAUAAUUUUUAACAAACUUUCUGUAAUACCCUGACAGACCCAGAAAUCCUUUCAAAGCUCUAACAUUCUUUGGAGUUGGCCAAUUUAGAAUUGAAGAUACCUUCUCUAGGUCAGGAUUUACCCCUUGCCCUGAUAUUAUAUGUCCCAAGAACUGCAGUUCACUCUGAAAAAAUAAACACUUGGACUGCUUGGCAAAUAGUUGAUUUUCCCUAAGUAUCAUUAGAACAGUUUUCAGAUGAUUAAUAUGGUCCUCUCUAGAAGAACUGAAAACUAGAAUAUCGUCAAAGAAAACUAGCACAAACUUCCUUAAUAGUGGGGAGAAUAUCCGAUUCAUAGUAGCUUGGAAGGUUGUUGGGGCAUUGGUGAGGCCAAAGGGCAUCACUAGAAACUCAUAGUGACCUUGGUGGGUUCUAAAAGCUGUUUUCUCCACAUCACUAGGGUUUAUUAAAAUCUGAUGAUAGCCAAAUCUCAAAUCUAAUUAACUUUGAAAAUAUUUUAGCCCCCUUUAGUUCAGCUAGUAACUCAUCAACUGUUGGUAUAGGGAACUUGUCCUUGAUUGUAAUGUUAUUUAAGGCCCUAUAAUCACACAUAGCCUCCAACUCCCAUCUUUUUUUUUAACAAACAAGAUUGGUGAAGAGUAUGGGCUGCUGCUCUCUCUAAUUGUUUGCUGCCUAAGCAUUUCUUGAACUAUUCUUUCUAUCUCAUCUUUUUGAAACUGAGCCUAUCUGUAAGGUUUAAAACUGGCAGGAUUUGCAAGCUUUUCUAAGGUGAUAUUGUGAAAUUGAGAUCUUGCUGGAGGUAAUCCCACAGGUUCUUCAAAUACAUCCACAAAUUCAUUCAGAAUUGGUUUUAAUAAUUCUGUUUCAUUUUCAGAGUUUCUCCCUUCUUUCUGUUUUUCAAAAUUAACCUCUCCCACAUAUUCAAAUCUACAGAAAAAAGCUCCCACAGUUGUGGCUGCUAAAGAAUUCAUUUCAUUCUUAGAUAGUUCUUCAUCAGAUAACAGUGAUUCACCCACCCAUUUGACUCUUUCUCCCUUUCAAUUAAAUUCAAUAUUCAUCUCAGUGUAGUUGGAAAGAAAUGAACCCACAAUUUUAAACCAUUGGAUUCCCAAUACUAAGUUGGCUCCUUCCAUAUUUAAUAUAAACAUAUCAAUCUUCAUAGUUACUCCUUGUACAAUCAUUUGUACAUGUUUAGACAUUUUGUCACACCUCAGAGAUACCCCACUUCCUGUUGAAACUAAAAAUGAUGGUAUAGAAGUGAUUGGUAGCCUCAAUUGCCUUGCCACCUCUUCUUGAAGAAAAUUGUGUGUAGAGCCAGAGUCUAGCAAAAGAGAGACUCUUAGGUUAUUAAUGCUGGCUGAUAGCUUUAAGGUUCUUGGACUCAAUUGACCUUGUAAGAAGUGGUAGCUUAUGUGUGUAUGUUCAACCCUUAUUUCUUCAACUGCAUCAACAAAUUGCUCUUCAUCCUCAUUAGGCUCAGUAUAUUCAGCAAAGUACUCCCCAUCUGCAGAUAAUAGAAAUAACCUUCCCUUGCAUUUGUGACCUCUUUCCCACUUCUUAGUGCAAUUAAAACAUUCAUUUUUAGACAUUUUAAUUUUCAUUUCAGCAGGUGAAAGUUUCUGUCUCAACAUAGGCCCCUUUGUGUUUUCAGUAGGUGGUAGUGCCAAUGCUUUCUUAUAUGGAGGUAUGUAUGGUUGCAAUGAUGUAGAUGACUUAGAGUUCAUCUCCACUGCCAAAGCUCUAGUAUGAGGGCAAUACCUAACAAUAUCAGUAGACAAGUCAUUUCUCUCAUAGAGUUGAGCCAGAGCAAAUGCCUCAACUAAAUUCUUAGGUCUUGCUUUAAUCACAUCUUUUUGAAUUUCAUUUUUUAAGCCAGACAUAAACAUUUCUUUUAUAACCCUAGGAUUAAUAUCAGUCACCUUGUUAGAUAGGGCUCAAACUGAUGUUGAUAAUCUUUAAAAGAGCCAGUUUGUACAAGUUUACUCAAUUUGCCAGCUGGAAUCUCAUAGGCUGAGGUUCCAAAUCUUUUAACCAGGUCAUUUAGGAAAUCUGACCAAGACUUUAGAGUGUUGUUGUUAUCAGGCCAAAAGAGCCACUCUAAGGCUUCCCCUUCCAUAUUAAAAGUAGCAACUGUGAUUCUCUCUUCAUCAGGUAUGUUGUGAUACCUCAUAUACUUUUUGGCUUUAUAAAUCCAUCCCUGCACAUUUUCCCCAUCAAACUUGGGCAUUUCUGUUAUGAUAGAUUUAUACUUCAUUUCUUGCUUUUGUUGAAUCCGAUCCUCUGGAUUAUUUAUCAGUAGCAGUGUUUCUUUCAUUUUAGAUAAGGUUAUUUCCAUACUUCUCAACCUCUCAGCUUCAUAAUCCUGUUUAAUUUGUAGUCUUUUUAGUUGGAUAUCCAUGGGAUCAGCCAUUUCUCAGAUGACGAUGAAUCUGAAAUAUAAACUGUGUCACUUAAUAGAAGAACAAAUAAAAUAGAGAUGAUUAGAUAUGUCCCUGAUCCGGAUCUCUUAAGCAGAGAACAUGUUUUUGGCGAAUUUUUUUGUAAUUUUUUUACAGGUCUACAAAACCUUCUUCAGAUGUAAUAAGUGUCCUGAAAUUUAUUUUUAUUCAAUAAUAGCAAUGAUAUUGAGUUUAAUGGAAUGUAUACGUUCCUGUUUAGGAUCUCUUAAGCAGAGAACAUGCUUUUGAUAUGCUUUGCUUUUUUUUUGUACAGAUCUUGCUCUUCUGAAGAUCUUCAGAUGAUGGGCAGAUCCUGAUUAAAUCGCCUUGGACAGGAUCCUGAGCUAAUCCCGGCAGGCAGGAGGCGUUGAAAGCACCAAUGAUAGACGGUACUAGGGAGUUGGUCGGAGAACAGAGUAGAUCAUCCGCAAUGGAACAAUGGUCUGGAAGUUAGGGUUGCUUCAACCUGAUUUCCGUUUUUGGUUGUAACUUAAAUUGAUUGAUUAAAUCUCAAAUAAAACAGUCUUGC